GUGGCUGCAACCACAUGUGAAGUAGGUCCGUCUUUUUAUUUGUAUAUAAACGCUUAGAUUUUUAUGAAACUCGAUCAAUCGCAAAAUCAUACAUUUGUAUACGGAUAUUACCUGUGGUAUUUAUCUCGCUGAAGACACGCAUCGGUUGCACUAUCAGCACCAAACUGCGCCACGGUAACAAAAAUUGUAGGCAUGCUUAAUAAUUAGUACUAUUUAUUUAUUUGAACGAUAAUAAAUAUCGCAAAACCACGCGUUGGCUAAUAACGUUGGCAAUAAUAUUAAUUUUGUUUAUUGUAUGCAUAUUUAAUCGAAUCGUAGUAAAUUAUGUUUCUUAAAUUUAUUUUAUUCAUUGUCGUUUUUAAAUUUGUAUUCCUGAUAACAUUCCUUUAAAGUUUUUCAAUAGUUUAUUAAGUUGUUUUUUGU